rnacentral:lncRNA from 1 species
AACAAAUCUAGAUCGUAGUACAAAUGUCCCUAAGGGAUGCAUGGCAGUUUAUGUUGGGGAGAACCAAAGAAGAAGAUUUGUAGUUCCGAUCUCUUACUUAAAUGAGCCUACGUUCCAAGACCUGUUAAGUCAAGCUGAGGAAGAAUUUGGGUUUAGUCAUCCAGAAGGCGGCCUCACAAUACCAUGCAAAGAAGACACCUUCAUUGAUCUCUUGAACAGAUUAUGAGAGUUUAUAUAUAUGUGUACAGAUACAAACAUAGAGAUAUGUUCUUAGAUAGUUUGCAAAUUUUGUGAACUAGUCCAGACAUUUUAUAUAUGACUGAGACUUUCGAUGUAAAUCUUUUUGGCAUCAGUUAAUACACUAAAUUGUUCUUUCUUGCAGAAUUUUUGUAAAUUGGUUCUUAUCUCAAAUACGUUUACUAGCAAAUUUCGUUUUUCAGUAUGGUUAAAGACUUAAAGAUAUCAAUCUUAAUCUGUUAACGAAAAAAACACCUUAAAAUUUGAAUUUCUGAUCUCUGAGGCUGAAUGUGAAAUUGUUAGGGUAGUUUUUGUUAAUUUCUUAUAAAAUUUUAUGUACGCUAUUUAUUUUAAUUUUUAUUAGAUUAGAAGGCUCGUAAGGAAAAUUACAAAAUUUUAACUUAAUUUGUUGAAAAGCCGGAAUACAAUGGGAUCUUCGGAAGGUUGAUCAUCACGAGUCUUACGAUGAUUUUGAUUGGGUAGGUCAACAACAAAAGAUUUCAUUCUUUCGAAAGCACUACCGAGACCCGAUACUUAAUGCGUUAGCUACAACAUUGCACACGUUGAUACACAAAGCGGUAACUAAUACCCCCUGUAGGCUAAGGAGCAGAAGGAGUAUUCGUGAUAAUAAAUGACUUGUAUAGGUUAAACUAUGCCUGAGAUAUAUUUAUAAAUCAGUUAGAACUGCUUAUAAAUAUAAAUUUUGAUUAAGAGUUAGCAAAAUCACCUUGUGUCGAGGCUGAUUUAUCAAGACAAUUGCAAGAUUUCCUUUGUUUUGGAUGUUACCAACAUAAGCAGCCAUUUGGAAUUGCUAAAAGUGGCGGCCUUUUGUGUCAGUGAUUUGUUUAAGGCAUAAAGUUUAUCAUGAGACACUUAGUAUUUUGCUGUAGAGAAAUUAAAGUAUCUAUGACAAUAAGUGAUGGUCAAUAUGUUCAAAAAAAUCGAGUAUCAAAUUUUGCUUUCCCUCCAAAAAAAUAUAUAUANUAUAUGUUCUGCAAUUUACACUCAGAAACUCAUCAAAUGAGAUCGGAGGUGCUAUACUAUCUACAAGUAUAUAAAUUGUUCAGGCGCGAAGUGAUUUCAAUGAAUGUGUCCACUGAGCAAGGAAUUGUAAGGCCUCCUUCUGGAUGAUCGAAUCCAAAUUUUUCCUCGGCUUGACUUGACAAAUCUUGAAAGGCAGGCUCAUUCAGGUAAGAAAUGGGUACCACAAAUCGGCUUCUUUGCCUCUCCCCAAUAUAAACUGCCAAGCACCCAUUUGGAAUCGUUGAAGUAAGAUCAGGAUUUAAUAAGAAAGGUGAGAGGUUAAGGAUUUGUUUGAGAUUAGUAAUAAUAAGUGUUCAUGUGACAGUGUUUCUUCCAGCUCCAAGUGAUAGUUUCACAUAAUGCAGCUUGACCAUUACAAAGAUGUUGGGUCCAUUUAAUCUGAUAAUCUGUUUCUAAGAGAUAUAUUCAUACAUUCACCUGGAGUUUUCUACUACAUGAUACAUCUAUUGAACAAAAGAAGCAGCUGAGAUAGGUCAAGAAAAUACCAUCACAUGAGCACCAAACUUGCCUGUCCCACCCAAAAGUAUUGACCAAUAAAAGCAUGAGAUAUGAUUCCUUGCCUGUCGAACACAUUCACCUGGAGUUUCCAGCCAUAAUAUGUAUGUCGAUGACCUUAGUAUGAACUCUCUUAUCUUCUCUAUAAUUAUAAAGCAAAAUUUAUAGAUAAGAAAAAAUCAGGUGAAGAAUUGUUCAACACAAGUGGUAGGACAAGAUGUCACUCACAGACAUACAAAUCCUACCCAUAGUCUCGAAAUGUGUAAAUAUUCAAAGAGAAUAGCAUGUGCUAAUGCCUAUUGCAUCUGCGUCAAUCCGCAUUUUGAUCAACAGAUCAAUUUUCUAUCAGUUCUAUAUAGACACUGUUGGAAAGUUAAGCAAAGUCAUUUCAGAAUUGAGUGUAUUCUAGUGUCGAAGCUUCAAUCUGCAGAAGUCCUUAUAAUUUCAUAUCCCCAACGUUUACCUGAAAACUUUAAUUUUUCAUUAGCGUCAUGGGUUUCUAAAAAAUAUUAUUCAUACAAGGAAUUACAUUGAUAAAUUAUUUAGAAGCUAACGUACAACCCGUGCUUCGCAUGAGCAAGUAUAUAAGUUUGUUUCUAUUACUGAAAUUUUAAUUGUUAUAGAAUUGAUGGAUAUUCAUGAAUUGUUUCUUCCAAUGGUAAAAAGGAGAAAAAUGUGCAAUUUUAGUUUGUUUUCAAAGUCCAAUUACAAAGAGCAGAUGUGUGAGAUGAGAGGUUUUUUCUCUGAAUGAUUAUCAAAAAGAUCUUCAGAGAAACAGAGUCUAGGUUUACAAUACUAGUCUGCAUAAUUUAGAGAUUUACUGCAGAUUUUAGCAUAAUAUGCAGAAUCUGGGGAUAUUUUGUUUUGCGAUAUGUCUGCAGAAUAUUCUGAAUACUAAAGUUUUUCCCAUUAGUCGGCAAUUUUUUUUUUGAUGCAUUUUUUUUUUGCAGAAUUUUAUUGCAUCAUUUGCUGUCAAGACUUAGUCAAUUUAUUAGUCAAUCUCAUAUUCUAUAUUCUCUGGAUGAAGUGUGCUAUGUUAAGAUUCCGAUAAAUAUAGCAGCAAACAACAAUGAAGUUCUUUUUUAUGUCCAAAAAAAAUAAAUAACAACGACGACGAUGAUUACACAGCUCUGACAACCAAGGGCUUAUUUAAUCAAGGAUGGUUGAAUGAAAACACUAUCGCAUGAGCACCUAACUUGUCUGUCCCAACUAAAACUCAAGACUUUCCAGCCAAUUAUUUGUAUGUCAUUUAAGUAGUAGGACAUGAUGUUUCUUAACAGACAUUUAAGUCCUACCAUAAGUCUUAAACAUAUGUGGCCAUUGAGAGAGAAUAGCAUGUGCUAAUGCCUAAUUCAUCUGUGCCACUCAAUCAAAUGUUCAAUUGUUCAAUACUACUUCCUAUGUGCUCUAUAAAACAGCUAUUUUAAACUCAACCAAAUUCAUCUCAUAAUCAAGUGUAUUCAAGUGUCCAAGCCUUCCAUCUGCAAAAGUCCUUGUAUUUCAAUAUCAGCAGAGUUUAUCCUGAAUACUUUUUUUUUAAGCAUAAUGGGUAUCCGCGUUCCUCGUAUCACCAGUCUCAAGCAAAUUCUAAACCGCCAAUUCUCCUCAACAAAUCUUGAUCGUAGUACAAGUUUCCCUAAGGGAUGCAUUGCAGUUUAUGUUGGUGAGAACCAAAGAAGAAGAUUUGUAGUUCCGAUCUCGUACUUAAGUGAGCCUACAUUUCAAGACCUGUUAAGUCGAGCUGAGGAAGAAUUUGAAUUUAGUCAUCCAGAAGGUGGCCUCACAAUCCCAUGCAAGGAAGACACCUUCAUUGAUCUCUUGAACAGAUUAUGAGGGUUUAUAUAUGUCUGCAGAUAUGUACAUACUGAUAUGUUGUUAGAUAGUUUUGUGAACUAGUCCAGACAUUUUAUAUUUGACUGAGACUUUCCAUGUAAAUCUUUUAGGCAUUAAUUAAUAAAUAAAAUCAUUCUUUCUUUUGACAAAAAAAAAAUUUAUUCUUUCUUGUAGAUUUUUUGUAAAUUGGUUCUAUCUCAAAUACUUUUAGUGAGCAAAUUGGUUAACAAUACCAAUCUUAGGUUGUGUUCACUUGGAUGGAAUGGAAUGGAAAAUUAUAUAGAAAUUUUAUGGAGAAAGAAGAAAGUAUGAGAUAAUAGUGACUAAAUAUGAAUGGGUUUAAAUAUCUUGUGAUAACGAUUGUAAGGAAACAUGAUGUAGAAAUGGAAUAACCAUUCCUUAUAAAACAUGUGGGCUAGAAUUCUAGUUAAAAUAGUAGCAAAGGAAUGAAAAUUAUGUACAUUUUCUCUAACCAACACUAUGUUAGAGACUUAGAGUACAAAAUUCAUUCCAUUCUCCCUUGUGUUCCAUUCCAUCCAAGUGAACACAAUCUUAGUAUUUUAAGGAAAAAAACCUUAAAACUUGAUACUAAUCUCUGAGGUAGAAUGUUAAAUUGUUAGGGUAGUUUCUGUUAACUUCUUAUAAAAUUUGCAUAUAAGGUAUUUUUUUAUUAAUAUUUAUUAGAUUGGAAAGCUUUGCAGGGAAAUUACAAAAUUUUAACUUCAUUUGUUGGAAAGCCAGAAUACAAUGGGAUCCUCGGAAGGUUGAUCAUCACGAGGUCUUACAAUGACUUUGAUUGGGAAGUUCAAUGACAACAGGUUUCAUUCUUGAAAAAUCACACUCAGACGGGAUCUUAACGUGUCAGCUACAGCAAUGCACAGGAGGUUGAUACGCACAUUACUAAUAAGUAAUAUCCCGUAGGCUGAGGAGCAAAAGGAGCAUUCAUGAUAAUAAAUGACUUAUAUAGAUUAACCAAUGCAGGAGAUAUAUUUAUAAAUUAGUUAGAACUGUUUAUAAAUAUAAAUUUUGAUUAAGAGCUUGCAAACUCACCUGGUGUCAGUGCUUACUUUUGAAGACGAUUGCAAGAUUCGGGUAUGAAACAGUAACUACAAAUUUUCUUUGUUUUGGGUGUUCCCAAUAUAAGCAACCUGGAAUUGCUAAAAAUGGGGGCCUUAUGUGUUGGUGAUGUGUUUUAGGCUUAAAGUUUAUCAUCAGACACUUAGUGAUAUGCUUUAGAGAAAAUAACAAGUAUCUAUAAGCAUAAGUGAUGGUCAAUAUGUUCAAAAUUUGAGUAUCAAAUUAUGCUUUCCCUACAAAAUAUAUUUGAAAAAUCUGUAUGUUCUACAGUUUACACUCAGAAACUCAAUAAAUGAGAUCGGAGGUGCUAUACUAUCUACAAGUAUAUAGAUUGUUCAGGCGCGAAGUGAUUUCAUUGAAUGUGUCCACUGAGCAAGGAAUGGUAAGACCUCCUUCCGGAUGAUUGAAUCCAAAUUCUUCCUCGGCUUGACUUAACAAAUCUUGAAAGGCAGGCUCAUUCAGGUAUGAAAUGGGUACCACAAAUCGGCUUCUUUGCCUCUCCCCAAUAUAAACUGCCAAGCACCCCUUUGGAAUCGUUGAAGUAAGAUCAGGAUUUAAUAAGAAAGAUGAGCGGUUAAGGAUUUGUUUGAGAGUAGUAAUACGAGGCAUACGGAUACCCAUGACACUAUAGAUCUUUCAGAGAAGAAUUCAGGAAAGUGAAGAAAAACUGGGACUUGUAUAGUUUUAAGGAAAAGACUUUAGACCAGUGAGUUUGUGAUGAAUGUUAGUAUCGCUUAAUUAUGUGUUUAUAUAGAACAAUCAGAAGUUGUGUAGAACAUGUCAUCAAAUUGUACAUUGAGCGGUAAGUAGGCAUUAGACACUAGCACAUGCAGAUUUAACAUGAAGUUUUGAGUGGCAUGAUAUGGAUUUUAUGUUUUGGGUUUGUCUGCACUGAUUAUGGAGGGGUUGAAAUAAUAAGUGUUCAUGUGCCAUUGUUUUUUCCAGCUCCAAGUUGAUAUUUUCACAUAACGAAGCUAGACCAUGUCGAAGAUGUUGGGUCCAUUUAAUCUGAUAAUCUGUUUCAAAGAGAUAUAUUCAUACACUCACCUGGAGUUUUCUACUACAUGAUACAUCAAUUUAACAAAAGAUGCAGCUGAGAUAGGUCAAGAAAACACCAUCACAUGAGCACCAAACUUGCCUAUCCCACCUAGGACUAUUGACCAAUAAAAGCAUGAGAUUUGAUUUUUUGCCUGUCGAUAUAACAACUUGUAUGAUUCCCAGAGCAGAUAUGGGACAAACCAUUAUGAUCUGUUUCUUUCGUGGAUAUAACAACUUGUAUCAGGUGUUUCCUACUGCACAAAAAAUAAAUAGCUAGGAUAGGUGAAUGAAAACACUAUCACAUGAGCACCUAACUUGUCUGUCCCACCCAGAACUACUGACCACAAAAACUAACAACUUGAAUUUGCUACCUUGCUUGCCAGGCAAAUUAUUUGUACCGUGUUCAUAUCCGUAUAUAUUACGUUAUAGACUAUCAGUAGGACAUGAUGUCUCUCAGAAGACAUUCAAGUCCUAGCAUUACUCUUAAAUAUGUGUGGCCUUUGAAAGAGAAUAGCAUGUGCUAUUGCCUAAUGCAUCUGUUCCACUCAAUCUGCAUCUUCAUCACCCGCUCAUUACUUGUUAUUUCUAUAUAAAAACUGUGAUCUCCUCAACCAAAUUCAUCAAAAAAUCAAGUCUAAUUAAGGGUCUAAGCCUAGCAUCUGCAGAAGUUCUUUUAUUUUCCAUAUCCCCAGAGAUUAUCCGUCGAAUUUUCAAUUUUCCUUGAGCAUCAUGGGUAUUCGUGUGCCUCAUAUCACUAACCUCAAGCAAAUUCUCAACAGACAAUUUUCCUUGAAAAAUCUUGAUCGUAGUACAAAUGUCCCUAAGGGAUGUAUUGCAGUUUAUGUUGGGGAGGACCAAAGAAGAAGAUUUGUAGUUCCGAUCACUUACUUAAACGAGCCUACGUUCCAAGACCUGUUAAGUCAGGCUGAGGAAGAAUUCGGGUUUAGUCAUCCAGAAGGCGGCCUCACAAUUCCAUGCAAAGAAGACACCUUCAUUGAUAUCUUGAACAGAUUAUGAGAGUUUAUAUAUAUGUUGUUAGAUAGUGUGCAAAUUUUGUAAACUAGUCCAGAAAUUUUAUAUAUGACUCUGAUAUAAAUCUUUUAGGUAGGACAUUAGCUGAUACUUUGUAAUUUGAUUACAUCAAUUUCUACAUGGAUUUGAUCUCUGCAAUCAUUAUGUAGUCAUCACACAUCUUUAUAAGUACUUUUUAUUGUCAAUCACAAAUGUAAUUGUU